UACGUAGGGUGCGAGCGUUAAUCGGAAUUACUGGGCGUAAAGCGUGCGUAGGCGGUUCGUUAAGUUCGUUGUGAAAGCCCCGGGCUCAACCUGGGAACUGCAAUGGAAACUGGCGGGCUUGAGUGUGGCAGAGGGGGGUGGAAUUCCACGUGUAGCAGUGAAAUGCGUAGAGAUGUGGAGGAACACCGAUGGCGAAGGCAGCCUCCUGGGCCAGCACUGACGCUCAUGCACGAAAGCGUGGGGAGCAAACAGG
rnacentral:rRNA from 1 species